AAGUCGUAACAAGGUUUCCGUAGGUGAACCUGCGGAAGGAUCAUUAGAGAGAACUGGCCCUUUGGGGCAAAUCUCCCACCCUUUGUCUACCAUACCUUUGUUGCUUUGGCGGGCCCGGGCAAGAGCCCCUGCCCGCCAGAGGACCUGAACCCAAGUAACAUGUCGUCUGAGAAAAACAUAAUAGUUAAAACUUUCAACAACGGAUCUCUUGGUUCUG
rnacentral:misc_RNA from 1 species